rnacentral:rRNA from 1 species
GAGCAUUGGAGGGGAACAUUGGAACGAUUGCUAAUACCCGAUAUGCCCUUCGGGGUGAAAAGUUUUUUCGCCUAAAGAUGAGCUCGCGUCCGAUUAGCUAGUAGGUAGUGUAAUGGACUACCUAGGCGAUGAUCGGUAGCUGGUUUGAGAGGACAAUCAGCCACACUGGGACUGAGACACGCCCAGACUCCUACGGGAGGCAGCAGUGGGGAAUUUUCCGCAAUGGGCGCAAGCCUGACGGAGCAAUACCGCGUGGGGGAGGAAGGUCUGUGGAUUGUAAACCCCUUUUCUCAGGGAAGAAGCUCUGACGGUACCUGAGGAAUCAGCAUCGGCUAACUCCGUGCCAGCAGCCGCGGUAAUACGGAGGAUGCAAGCGUUAUCCGGAAUUAUUGGGCGUAAAGCGUCCGCAGGCGGCUAGAUAAGUCUGCUUUCAAAGAGUGGGGCUCAACCCCAUAAAGGGAGUGGAAACUGUUUAGCUAGAGUAUGGUAGGGGCAGAGGGAAUUCCCAGUGUAGCGGUGAAAUGCGUAGAUAUUGGGAAGAACACCAGUGGCGAAGGCGCUCUGCUGGACCGAGACUGACGCUGAGGGACGAAAGCUAGGGGAGCGAAAGGGAUUAGAUACCCCUGUAGUCA